UUUUAGCCCAGAUAGUAGUGAAAAGUUUUUGAAAUGGCUGACUAUUUUUUGUUGGUAAAAAAAAGCGACCAGCGGAAGCUCUUUUUUUGCCUUACAAAAAAAGGCGGCAAUGAAAAAACUUGAAACGAAUAGCUGGAAUAGCU
rfam:Flavobacterium sp. EM1308 contig00110, whole genome shotgun sequence.